rnacentral:rRNA from 1 species
GGACAAUGGAGGCAACUCUGAUCCAGCCAUGCCGCGUGAAGGAAUAAGGCCCUAUGGGUUGUAAACUUCUUUUAGACGGGACAAAACCCCUUUACGUGUAAAGGGUUGAUGGUACUGUCAGAAUAAGCAUCGGCUAACUUCGUGCCAGCAGCCGCGGUAAUACGAAGGAUGCAAGCGUUAUCCGGAAUUAUUGGGUUUAAAGGGUGCGUAGGCGGACUAAUAAGUCAGUGGUGAAAGCCUGCAGCUUAACUGCAGAAUUGCCAUUGAUACUGUUAGUCUUGAGUACAGUUGAGGCAGGCGGAAUGUGUCAUGUAGCGGUGAAAUGCUUAGAUAUGACACAGAACACCGAUUGCGAAGGCAGCUUGCUAAGCUGUAACUGACGCUGAGGCACGAAAGCGUGGGGAGCAAAC